AUUGAACGCUAGCGGGAUGCCUUACACAUGCAAGUCGAACGGAGUGGCGAACGGGUGAGUAAUGUAUCGGAACGUGCCCAGUAGCGGGGGAUAACUACGCGAAAGCGUAGCUAAUACCGCAUACUAUUGGAGCGGCCGAUAUAGGAUUAUCUAGUUGGUGGGGUAACGGCUCACCAAGGCGACGAUCCGUAGCUGGUUCGAGAGGACGACCAGCCCCACUGGGACUGAGACACGGCCCAGACUCCUACGGGAGGCAGCAGUGGGGAAUUUUGGACAAUGGGGGAAACCCUGAUCCAGCCAUCCCGCGUGUAUGAAGAAGGCCUUCGGGUUGUAAAGUACUUUCAGCGAGGAGGCGUUACCCGCAGAAGAAGCACCGGCUAACUCCGUGCCAGCCGCCGCGGUAAUUC
rnacentral:rRNA from 1 species